CGAUGCGAUCAUACCAGCACUAAUGCCGAUUCCCAUCAGAACUCCAAGUUAAGCGUGCUUGGCGAGAGUAGUACUAGGAUGGGUCACCCCUGGAAUCCUCGUGUCAUCCC
rnacentral:rRNA from 1 species